UAUAGGCUGAGCUUAAUUUAACUGCCAGCGUCGUCUGUUUAUGCUUGAGAGUGUCUCCAUCGCGUCCUUCCACGAACGCGACGGCUCUAUCUUUUAGGAGCAGUAAAGGACCGAGAUAAACGCGACUGCACCCCCGAAGAGGAGAUUAUUUUCCCUGACUGACUGGGUGGCACAUUGCAUAGACAUUGCGAAGCAGCGUCGUUUCCUGUGCUUGCCAAUAUAUACACACAUUUCGUAUAAUGUGUUUGUUGCGGCGUAUAUGUAAAACAUGCAUCACCGAGCGACCUGCUAUAUAAAUCGAUGUUGGGACGCAGUCAGAGCGGCAACCAGGAAAAUGUACCUGUGGUGCAAGAAGUCGACCCUCCCGCAUUCGCAAGCUCUAGUUCCGGAGGAACAUGGAACCAAACAAAAGAAGCUGCGUCGUAGAUUGCGGUCGUGGAGCCGCUGGAUCUCCACGGGUGCAGUAGAAGCGUCAGCCUUGCAGUCUACCUAUACACCCGGACCUCAUUUCUGGUAGCCGUCCGGUCUGAGCCCUUUCUACAAACGGACUACCAAUUACGCAUCAUGUGACCAGGACUCGGACGUCUUUUAUGCCCCUUUUGCCCAUUGUGUGGACAUUUCUGUGUACGGUUAUGUGCCUGUGAAUGACGUAUGUGUUCAACGCGUGUGAAAAUUACAUACUGUGCCAUUUUGGGGACUUACUGCAAGAACGUUAUAGAAAGUAGUGGGAAUCCCUCGGACAUUUCUGCUAAGGAUCGACCCCUUUGUUGUUGUCCCGAGAUCAGUUCGUGGCCAAAUCUCCUGAAAGAAGGAAGUCACUGAAAAGGUUAGCCAGCUGCAGGACUCAAAUUAGCUCAUUUGGUAGAGCCCUGGACCGGCAAUCCAGAAGAUGUGGGUUCGAGUCCUACAGCUGGCUAACCUUUCAGUGACUUCCUUCUUUCAUUGUUCUUAGUCACUUGAGGCUUGUGCGUUGUGUUGUCAUUUCUUGUGUGUUCCAGCCUCAGAACAGCAAUUUCCAUCGAAUCUCCUGCCAAGCAGGAAUUUCAUGCCUCCAUUCCUCCAACAUGCCUCCAUUCCCAGCUGACGCCAAUACAAUGUGUGUGUAAGCAUUUAAUAAUUACUGAACAACUUUCCCUUAAAGUUAAUUAUGGGAGGAGUUACAUCGCCAGCGGCGACACUUGGGGUUGCCCUUCAGAUCCAAGUCCGUUUGAGACAGCAUUUCAGGGUGUCAGCCCUUGUGGCUGGUCUCCCACUUUGAUGUCUAUAGACCCAUACGCAGACUUGGAGGUAUCUUACUGAGUACGCUUCGUGAAAAGUAUUUGUACUGUAAUUAAAAUACUUUUUCUAUA